rnacentral:rRNA from 1 species
GACGAACGCUGGCGGCGUGCUUAACACAUGCAAGUCGAACGGGAGUAUCGAAGAAGCUUGCUUUUAAGAUACUUUAGUGGCGGACGGGUGAGUAACGCGUGAGGAGCUGUCCUAUGCAGGGGGACAACAGUUGGAAACGACUGCUAAUACCCCAUAAGCCGAGAGGUAAAAGGAUUUAUCCGGCAGAGGAGGUACUCGCGUCCUAUCAGCUAGUAGGUGAGGUAACGGCUCACCUAGGCGAAGACGGGUAGCCGGCCUGAGAGGGCGAACGGCCACACUGGAACUGAGAUACGGUCCAGACUCCUACGGGAGGCAGUAGUGGGGAAUAUUGGGCAAUGGGGGGAACCCUGACCCAGCGACGCCGCGUGGGUGAAGAAAUCCUUCGGGAUGUAAAGCCCUGUUGUAUGGGAAGAGCAGAAGACGGUACCAUACGAGGAAGCCCCGGCAAACUACGUGCCAGCAGCCGCCGUAC